rnacentral:rRNA from 1 species
UGUGCAGGAUAGGUGGUGGGCUUUGAAGCGUGGACGCCAGUCUGCGUGGAGCCUCCCUUGAGAUACCACCCUUGUUCUGCUUGAUGUCUAACCGCGGUCCGUUAUCCGGAUCCGGGACCCUGUGUGGUGGGUAGUUUGACUGGGGCGGUCGCCUCCUAAAUCGUAACGGAGGCGCGCGAAGGUUGGCUCAGAGCGGUCGGAAAUCGCUCGUUGAGUGCAAUGGCAGAAGCCAGCCUGACUGCAAGACUGACAAGUCGAGCAGAGUCGAAAGACGGCCAUAGUGAUCCGGUGGUCCCAAGUGGGAGGGCCAUCGCUCAACGGAUAAAAGGUACGCCGGGGAUAACAGGCUGAUACUGCCCAAGAGUCCAUAUCGACGGCAGUGUUUGGCACCUCGAUGUCGGCUCAUCUCAUCCUGGGGCUGGAGCAGGUCCCAAGGGUACGGCUGUUCGCCGUUUAAAGAGGUACGUGAGCUGGGUUUAGAACGUCGUGAGACAGUUCGGUCCCUAUCUUCCGUGGGUGUAGGAUACUUGAGAGGAGUUGCCCCUAGUACGAGAGGACCGGGGUGAACGAUCCACUGGUGGACCUGUUGUUGCGCCAGCAGCAGUGCAGGGUAGCUAUGAUCGGACAGGAUAACCGCUGAAGGCAUCUAAGCGGGAAGCCCCCCUCAAAACAAGGUAUCCCUGAGAGCCGAGGUAGACCACCUCGUCGAUAGGCCAGAGAUGUAAGCGUAGUAAUACGUUCAGUUGACUGGUACUAAUUGCUCGAUAGGCUUGAUUUGAUCCAG